GUGUUACUGACGCUCAUGCUCGAAGGCGCGGGUAUCGAACAGGAUUAGAUACCCUGGUAGUCCGCGCGGUAAACGAUGGAUGCCCGCUGUGCGCCCUUGAGGGUGCGCGGCCAAGCGAAAGCGUUAAGCAUCCCACCUGGGGAGUACGCCGGCAACGGUGAAACUCAAAGGAAUUGACGGGGGCCCGCACAAGCGGAGGAACAUGUGGUUUAAUUCGAUGAUACGCGAGGAACCUUACCCGGGCUUGAACUGCAGAGGAAGGAUCUGGAGACAGUGACGCCCUUCGGGGUCUCUGUGGAGGUGCUGCAUGGUUGUCGUCAGCUCGUGCCGUGAGGUGUCGGCUUAAGUGCCAUAACGAGCGCAACCCCUCUCCCCGGUUGCCAUCAGGUGAUGCUGGGCACUCCGUGGACACUGCCGCCGCAAGGUGGAGGAAGGUGGGGAUGACGUCAAAUCAGCACGGCCUUGUACGUCCGGGGCUACACACGUGUUACAAUGGGGGGCACAGCGUGCCGGCGCUCCGCAAGGUGCGUCCAAUCAUGAAAUCCCCCCUCAGUUCGGACUGGGGUCUGCAACCCGACCCCACGAAGCUGGAUUGCUAGU
rnacentral:rRNA from 1 species